GUUAGGAAUAUUGGACAAUGGGCGCAAGCCUGAUCCAGCCAUGCCGCGUGAGUGAUGAAGGCCUUCGGGUUGUAAAGCUCUUUAGCCGAUGAUUAUAAUGACUGUAGUCGGAAAAUAAGCCCCGGCUAACUUCGUGCCAGCAGCCGCGGUAAUACGAAGGGGGCGAGCGUUAUUCGGAAUCACUGGGCGUAAAGCGUGCGUAGGCGGCUUUGCAAGUUGGGAGUGAAAGCCCAGGGCACAACCCUGGAAUUGCUCUCAAAACUGCAAGGCUCGAAUUCGGGAGAGGAUAGCGGAAUUGUCAGUGUAGCAGUGAAAUGCGUAGAUAUUGACAGGAACACCAGUGGCGUAAGCGGCUAUCUGGACCGAUAUUGACGCUGAGGCACGAAAGCGUGGGGAUCAAACAGGAUUAGAUACCCCAGUAGUCC
rnacentral:rRNA from 1 species